GCCUUGUAUCUGUUUUGUGCUGUUUACUGGGUCUUACCAGCCCCCACCCACAGUUACUUUUUCAGGGUCCGAGGAAUGGAGUGUUAUGCCGUUUCUUGGCGCGGUUAGCGGGUGGAGGAGACACGGUCUCCAGGCCGUCCGGACUUGUGAGCACCGCGCUCGUCAGCACUUCCAACUCCCCCCUGCACACACACAACUUUGCCUCAGUCUCCAGGGAGCCAGGAGAAGAGAGCUGGGACUGUCUGAGGGAGGAUUGUGACAGCCGCACGGCCCCGGGAGCCCAAAAGCGAGCUGGGAAGAGGGGUGGUGAUAGAUUAGUCGACCCUUUCCAGGCACGGAGUCGAUGCGGGGCGCCAUACACGCAGAAAAACUGGCCUGAAGAAGCUAGAGAUCCAGUGGAAGAACAGGGUAUGGGCGGAGAUCAUUGUCGAAGUGAGGCUCGGAUCCAUCUGCAGGACCAGGGCUUAAAGGACCCGGGUGUGUGACCGGCCCCGCCCCGCUCUGCCAAGAUUGGAGUUGAGGGAGGAGAGAGUGUUCUCUCAGUGCCCGCCCAGGAGGGGGAGCCGGUAGCCCCGGGGAAAGUAGGGACGCGGGUUAAUGAGGCCAAGCGAGCGAGGCGGGGCUCCAUCGGCAGUCGGGAGGCGCCAGAGAGGGGUGCCGCGGGGGCGGCGGCGCCCUCAGUACAGCUCCUUUUCGCCCGAAGUCCGCGGGAGCCAGGCGGGGCCGGGAGACCCCGCGAAACGGCGCUCACGCCCUCGGUGCAGCCUAGGAGCCGGAGGGGCGGGAGCAAGCGGCCGGGGCGGA